UACGUAGGGACCAAGCGUUGUUCGGAUUUACUGGGCGUAAAGGGCGCGUAGGCGGCGUGACAAGUCACUUGUGAAAUCUCUGGGCUUAACCCAGAACGGCCAAGUGAAACUGUUGUGCUAGAGAGCAGAAGGGGCAAUCGGAAUUCUCGGUGUAGCGGUGAAAUGCGUAGAUAUCGAGAGGAACACCAGAGGUGAAGACGGGUUGCUGGGCUGACACUGACGCUGAGGCGCGAAAGCCAGGGGAGCAAACGGG
rnacentral:rRNA from 1 species